UCAUAUUUGUUCAUUCAAAGAGCGAAUUCAGAUCGCUGGAGAAAGGGGCACAACGUAAAGGAUGCUGAAAGGAUGGUCCAGAUCUCUUCUUGGACACAGCAUUGCAAAGCUUGCCUAUUCCUGAAACAAACGCCAUAUUUUUCAACUGAACCAAUAACUGCAUGAAAUCAAUGUAUGUAAAAUCAUUAGCAUGCAAGAAACAAUGGAUGUAUAUUGUUACGAAUCUGUGAUGCGGCUUCCCAGCAUAGUUGGUUCCAUAAGAGGUCCCAGAGCUUGGCGACAAAUUUGGCGACUUUGGCGCCAAAAUAGAUUAUACCCGAAACAUCGAGAAUGUUCCCGAUCCGUCCAGUAGGAACCGAGUUAUGCCUCGAACGUUCCUGAUUGGUUGAGAGGCUUCUAGCCCCGCCUCCUGAGACCUAUAAAAGGAGCAACCUGCAGCUGCCGAGUAGUCGUGGACCAGUGGAGUCGAAGAGUAGUCGACAUCGACGGUAAAGAACUGGCCUUCCAGAGAUAAGCGGAGCAGCGACGGAGUGAAGCUCGUGCUGAACUAAG